AGAGUUUGAUCAUGGCUCAGAUUGAACGCUGGCGGCAGGCCUAACACAUGCAAGUCGAGCGGUAGCACAGAGAGCUUGCUCUCGGGUGACGAGCGGCGGACGGGUGAGUAAUGUCUGGGAAACUGCCUGAUGGAGGGGGAUAACUACUGGAAACGGUAGCUAAUACCGCAUAAUGUCGCAAGACCAAAGUGGGGGACCUUCGGGCCUCAUGCCAUCAGAUGUGCCCAGAUGGGAUUAGCUUGUAGGUGGGGUAACGGCUCACCUAGGCGACGAUCCCUAGCUGGUCUGAGAGGAUGACCAGCCACACUGGAACUGAGACACGGUCCAGACUCCUACGGGAGGCAGCAGUGGGGAAUAUUGCACAAUGGGCGCAAGCCUGAUGCAGCCAUGCCGCGUGUGUGAAGAAGGCCUUCGGGUUGUAAAGCACUUUCAGCGGGGAGGAAGGCGAUAAGGUUAAUAACCUUGUCGAUUGACGUUACCCGCAGAAGAAGCACCGGCUAACUCCGUGCCAGCAGCCGCGGUAAUACGGAGGGUGCAAGCGUUAAUCGGAAUUACUGGGCGUAAAGCGCACGCAGGCGGUCUGUCAAGUCGGAUGUGAAAUCCCCGGGCUCAACCUGGGAACUGCAUUCGAAACUGGCAGGCUAGAGUCUUGUAGAGGGGGGUAGAAUUCCAGGUGUAGCGGUGAAAUGCGUAGAGAUCUGGAGGAAUACCGGUGGCGAAGGCGGCCCCCUGGACAAAGACUGACGCUCAGGUGCGAAAGCGUGGGGAGCAAACAGGAUUAGAUACCCUGGUAGUCCACGCCGUAAACGAUGUCGAUUUGGAGGUUGUGCCCUUGAGGCGUGGCUUCCGGAGCUAACGCGUUAAAUCGACCGCCUGGGGAGUACGGCCGCAAGGUUAAAACUCAAAUGAAUUGACGGGGGCCCGCACAAGCGGUGGAGCAUGUGGUUUAAUUCGAUGCAACGCGAAGAACCUUACCUGGUCUUGACAUCCACAGAACUUAGCAGAGAUGCUUUGGUGCCUUCGGGAACUGUGAGACAGGUGCUGCAUGGCUGUCGUCAGCUCGUGUUGUGAAAUGUUGGGUUAAGUCCCGCAACGAGCGCAACCCUUAUCCUUUGUUGCCAGCGGUCCGGCCGGGAACUCAAAGGAGACUGCCAGUGAUAAACUGGAGGAAGGUGGGGAUGACGUCAAGUCAUCAUGGCCCUUACGACCAGGGCUACACACGUGCUACAAUGGCAUAUACAAAGAGAAGCGACCUCGCGAGAGCAAGCGGACCUCAUAAAGUAUGUCGUAGUCCGGAUUGGAGUCUGCAACUCGACUCCAUGAAGUCGGAAUCGCUAGUAAUCGUAGAUCAGAAUGCUACGGUGAAUACGUUCCCGGGCCUUGUACACACCGCCCGUCACACCAUGGGAGUGGGUUGCAAAAGAAGUAGGUAGCUUAACCUUCGGGAGGGCGCUUACCACUUUGUGAUUCAUGACUGGGGUGAAGUCGUAACAAGGUAACCGUAGGGGAACCUGCGGUUG
rnacentral:rRNA from 1 species